GCGCCCGUAGCUCACGUGGAUAGAGCGACGGACUUCGAAUCCGUAGGCAGCCUGUUCGAGUCAGGCCGGGCGCA
rnacentral:tRNA from 1 species